AUGACCCCUGGUCCCCCCACAGUCGCCACGUCUUCAGCUUCAGGACCUACGAUUGUCAACAAUGAAACCACGUCUUCAGCUUCAGGACCUACGAUUGUCAACAAUGAAAACACGUCUUCAGCUUCAGGACCUACGAUUGUGUCUCUUGUCGCCCUCUUUCUCUCCGUCCUGGCCAUCUAUGCCAACCUGUUGUGAUCACCUACACACACACACCUUUUAUCCUCCCGAUGUUAGUAGCAAGUACUCUCGUUAGCAGUUACUGUUAGUACUUUCUUUGUUUUUGUUUUUUAUUUUAUUUUAUUUUCUCUAUUUAUUCUCUUUACCAGGCGUGGGCCAUCCCCUGGACUAACAAAAUGGGUGCCUUAUUAUUAUUUUUCUGUUUCUGUUUUAAUGACAGUCCACUGCACGUCUGAAAAAAGUACUUAGUUUAUUUUAAUUUAGUUUAGGCGGGUUACAGAACUAUCGACGUAUCGUUCGCUGCCUUACUUGUAGUUUGAUAACGCUUCGCUCUUCAUUGAGAUAUCCACCAUUCUCUCUCUUUUCUCCUUAUUUUCUUCCCUGUAUAAACAUAAUAACAUAUUCGCUGCCUUGUCCUUGAGCAUUUGUGCUCGUUUGGAUUUGCGAAUUCAAAUAAAGUAUACAAACAAACAAGUAAACAUAUAACUUGAAAA